GCGCUCGAUGUAACGGGUAGUCGCACCGCCCUCCGGAGGCGGGAGCGCAGGUUCGAAUCCUGCCGGGGGCA
rnacentral:tRNA from 1 species